rnacentral:rRNA from 1 species
GACGAACGCUGGCGGCGUGCUUAACACAUGCAAGUCGAACGGAAAGGCCCUGCUUUUGUGGGGUGCUCGGGUGGCGAACGGGUGAGUAACACGUGAGUAACCUGCCCUUGACUUUGGGAUAACUUCAGGAAACUGGGGCUAAUACCGGAUAGGAGCUCCUGCUGCAUGGUGGGGGUUGGAAAGUUUCGGCGGUUGGGGAUGGACUCGCGGCUUAUCAGCUUGUUGGUGGGGUAGUGGCUUACCAAGGCUUUGACGGGUAGCCGGCCUGAGAGGGUGACCGGCCACAUUGGGACUGAGAUACGGCCCAGACUCCUACGGGAGGCAGCAGUGGGGAAUAUUGCCCAAUGGGCGGAAGCCUGAUGCAGCAACGCCGCGUGCGGGAUGACGGCCUUCGGGUUGUAAACCGCUUUCGCCUGUGACGAAGCGUGAGUGACGGUAAUGGGUAAAGAAGCACCGGCUAACUACGUG